rnacentral:rRNA from 1 species
AUACGUAGGUGGCAAGCGUUGUCCGGAAUUAUUGGGCGUAAAGCGCGCGCAGGUGGUUCCUUAAGUCUGAUGUGAAAGCCCCCGGCUCAACCGGGGAGGGUCAUUGGAAACUGGGGAACUUGAGUGCAGAAGAGGAUAGUGGAAUUCCAAGUGUAGCGGUGAAAUGCGUAGAGAUUUGGAGGAACACCAGUGGCGAAGGCGAAUGUCGGUGCUGUAACUGACACUGAGGCGCAAAAGCGUGGGGAGCAAACAGGAUUAGAUCCCCUGGUAGUCCACGCCGUAAACGAUGAGUGCUAAGUGUUGGGGGGUUUCCGCCCCUCAGUGCUGCAGCUAACGCAUUAAGCACUCCGCCUGGGGAGUACGGUCGCAAGACUGAAACUCAAAGGAAUUGACGGGG